UACGUAGGGGGCGAGCGUUGUCCGGAAUCAUUGGGCGUAAAGCGCACGUAGGCGGUCUGUUAUGUCGGAUGUGAAAGCCCUUGGCUCAACUGAGGAAGUGCAUCCGAAACUGGCAGGCUGGAGUACUAAAGAGGGUCGCGGAAUUCCCGGUGUAGAGGUGAAAUUCGUAGAUAUCGGGAGGAACACCGGUGGCGAAGGCGGCGACCUGGGUAGAUACUGACGCUGAGGUGCGAAAGCGUGGGGAGCAAACAGG
rnacentral:rRNA from 1 species